AUCAGAUUUUAUUGAAUUCUUCUUUUGAGAUUUGGGUGAUAAGACUUUUAAUGAUAAUAACCUUGUUCCUUUUGCACUAUUUCUGUACAAAGGGCAUAAAAGCAAGACCUAUGAAUUGUGAGUGCCAAGUGUUGUCACAAGUCAAGCAUGGUAGAGCCAUUGGCUUAGACAAAGUGGGUGGUGUUUUACAAAGUCCAUUAAAGUUUCUUAUCCUCCUUUCUGGGGGCACUUGCGGUCGUUGUUCACUUUCAUGUCUGGCUGUUGAAACCAUGAACUGGACAAAUCGAGAGAUUUAUCUUCAUACGGGUACGUCUAGGUUUUUCUUAUGCUAUCAUUUGUUGGUUUAUAACUAUUUUUCAUUGAGAUGUUUGACAUAAAUGAGAACCAAAACUGAUAAGAUUUUCUCAGAGUAGAAAUGGGGGUAAAGCAAGGGACGGGAAGGAACACUUGCUUCUUUUGAUGUCUGAUUUUAUGAGGUCUAAUUCUUGCUUUUAUUCAAUUUACUCUUUGUACCUACUUUUUUUUAUUAUUUAAAAAUUAAGAUUCAAUUAAUACCUCCAUUAGAGACCUUCAUAUUAGGUGGCAUUUGUAAAAAAAUAAAGCCUUGUGGAAACCAUGUAAAUAAAUAAAGUUGCUGUCAUGAUUGGGCUAUGAAUUGUAAAAAAUAUAACUAGAAAAAUAAAAAAUAAGAAAUAUCGGUUUUCUCUUGCUUUUCUAAAAUGAAUUUAUUUUCUUAUGAGAUUUUUCCCCAAAAUUUCAUAUAAUUUAAUUCAACGCAAGUCUGUUAUCGGUAUUGUCUGUUGGACUUCAAAAUUUAAAUCAAAAGAGUAGAUGGAUUAAAUUUCAAACGUGUGAAGGGUAGAGGGACUAAGAGCAUAAUUAAACUGUUUUAUGGUCCGUGUAAUUACUGGCAUAUUGCAAAUAACUGAAGUAUGUGUGACUGAUUGUUGAACAACAUAAAGACAUGGAGAAAUAUUAUUUAUUGUUCCCCGCUAACCAGCCGCUUAUGAGAAAACUGUAACUAUAUGCGAGGUCUUCACUAUACCUUUUUAAGCAGCUUCAAGAAGAGCAAAGGCACAACAAUGGUUAUUAUUAAUUAUUAGCCACUCUUGAUUUUUGUGAUUUUAGGUAGGUUUGUUUGUAAUUAUAUAUGUGUGGCAUAUUUGGAUAAGUAAUUGGUGGAUUUCACUAAA